rnacentral:rRNA from 1 species
UACGGAGGGUGCAAGCGUUGCUCGGAAUCACUGGGCGUAAAGCGCACGUAGGCGGACUCUUAAGUCGGUGGUGAAAUCCUGGAGCUCAACUCCAGAACUGCCUUCGAUACUGGGAGUCUCGAGUUCGGGAGAGGUGAGUGGAACUGCGAGUGUAGAGGUGAAAUUCGUAGAUAUUCGCAAGAACACCAGUGGCGAAGGCGGCUCACUGGCCCGAUACUGACGCUGAGGUGCGAAAGCGUGGGGAGCAAACAGG